rnacentral:lncRNA from 1 species
ACGACAGGAGUGAGACCAUGCGGCGGAUGGGAUAUUCAUGGUAAGACAGGAUGCUGUGGUCCCCGGGCCCGCGCCUGCGUUUCCUCCUGGCUCUCCCCAAAUCCACAGAUAAGCAAGGGGCCUCUGCUCAGUGAGGAACCCAGGAGACCUUGGAGCCCCGGGCACGGAGAUCAGGAUCAGUCUGAGGGCUCCAAGCCCCCGUGCCUUGGGAGAGUUCCAGUCAGCCUCAGGAGAGACUAGACCCAAACCUGGUGGGAAGCGCCAAGGGCAUCCGAUGGCCAGGCGCCUGGCUCUCCGCAGCCCCUAUGGCAAACCUCCUUGGAGACUCAGGGUGAUCUCUGCUCUGCCACACUACGGAGGGGACCUGUUGCUUUACUAUCUCUCUGAACUGGGACCUCCAUCAUUCCAAAGCCCACCUGCGCAUCACGGUAUCGUGGGAUAAAAGAUUCAGGGUUUUCCUCUUCUUCCUGGCUUCACGUUACCAGCUUCCCCAUGUGAUGCCAGAUUCCUGGGACCCCAUAGACCUCCAGGAGCCGAAUCCAAUGCAACCACUUAAGAGUCUUUACUGCAAGCUCGAGCCUGGACUCACAACCGUUUCCCUAUGCAGUGGUCCCAGGGAGUGAUCCCCGUCCUUUGUCCAGUGAGAUUUUAUAGGUUUUU